rnacentral:rRNA from 1 species
GACGAACGCUGGCGGCGUGCUUAACACAUGCAAGUCGAACGGUAAGGCCCUUCGGGGUACACGAGUGGCGAACGGGUGAGUAACACGUGGGUGAUCUGCCCUGCACUUCGGGAUAAGCCUGGGAAACUGGGUCUAAUACCGGAUAGGACCCUGGGAUGCAUGUCCUGGGGUGGAAAGCUUUUGCGGUGUGGGAUGGGCCCGCGGCCUAUCAGCUUGUUGGUGGGGUGGUGGCCUACCAAGGCGACGACGGGUAGCCGGCCUGAGGGGGUGACCGGCACCCCUGGGACUGAGAUACUGCCCAGACUCCUACGGGAGGCAGCGUUGGGGAAUAUCGCACAAUGGGCGCAAGCCUGAUGCAGCGACGCCGCGUGAGGAAUGACGGCCUUCGGGUUGUAAACCUCUUUCAGCACCGACGAAGCGCAAGUGACGGUAGGUGCAGAAGAAGGACCGGCCAACUACGUGCCAGCAGCCGCAGUAA